UAGCAUAUCAAUAAGCGGAGGAAAAGAAACCAACAGGGAUUGCCUCAGUAACGGCGAGUGAAGCGGCAACAGCUCAAAUUUGAAAUCUGGCGCAAGCCCGAGUUGUAAUUUGCAGAGGAUGUUUCGGGUGAAGCCACGGUCCAAGUCCCUUGGAACAGGACGUCAUAGAGGGUGAGAACCCCGUACCUGGCCGUCGGUGCCCCCCGCUGUGAAACUCCUUCGACGAGUCGAGUUGUUUGGGAAUGCAGCUCUAAAUUGGUGGUAAAUUCCAUCUAAAGCUAAAUACCGGCCAGAGACCGAUAGCGCACAAGUAGAGUGAUCGAAAGAUGAAAAGCACUUUGAAAAGAGAGUUAAAAAGUACGUGAAAUUGUUGAAAGGGAAGCGCUUGCGGCCAGACUUGCCCGCGGUUGCUCAGCCCGCCUUUUGGCGGGUGCACUCUUCCGCGGUCAGGCCAGCAUCGGUUUGGGCGGCCGGAUAAAGGCGCCGGGAACGUGGCCUCCCCUCGGGGAGGUGUUAUAGCCCGGCGUGCAAUGCGGCCAGCCCGGACCGAGGUUCGCGCUCUGCUAGGAUGCUGGCGUAAUGGCCGUAAGCGGCCCGUCUUGAAACACGGACCAAGGAGUCUAACAUCUAUGCGAGUGUUUGGGUGUCAAACCCGUGCGCGUAAUGAAAGUGAACGGAGGUGGGAACCGCAAGGUGCACCAUCGACCGAUCCUGAUGUCUUCGGAAGGAUUUGAGUAAGAGCAUAGCUGUUGGGACCCGAAAGAUGGUGAACUAUGCGUGAAUAGGGUGAAGCCAGAGGAAACUCUGGUGGAGGCUCGCAGCGGUUCUGACGUGCAAAUCGAUCGUCAAAUUUGCGUAUAGGGGCGAAAGACUAAUCGAACCAUUUAGUAGCUGGUUCCUGCCGA
rnacentral:rRNA from 1 species